AUGCCAAUAAUACUUUCUGAUUUCGUUAUUAAUAUCUUCUGCAAAAUGAAUUUCUGAAGCCUUCUUGCAAAAUAAUUAUGAAACUUCAUAGUUUGAUAAACAUCAGCUUUGUUAAUAAAAGUCACCCCUUAUCCAGAAUUCCCAAUUCAACCACAUGGGUACCAGAAAUAGUGACACCUUUCUGAUGUUCAUAGUACACAAACUUUGCUUCAUGUACAACAUUGUUAAAAAUGAUGGGCAUAAAAGUACCUUCAGGCUAUGUUUAUAAGAUGCAUUAGAAACGUACCUGAAUGUCAUGUUUAGACUUGGGUCUCAUGUCAUAGAUAUCUCCUUAUGUAUAUACAAAUACAUUCUUAAUAUAAUAAACAUAAUCCAUUAAGGCAAACCCUUCUGGUCCCAAGCAUUUUGGAUAAGGGAUACUUUACCUGUGCUAUAACCUAUCCCCCCUUCUGUAAUGUAAAUUGUUAUAAUGGAUGCUGGGUCUCUAUGAGGAAUUUGUAGAUUCAUAUAAUAUUGUUCUGUCAGUUACUGUUAGAUAUAGACACCUGCAUACAGUGCAAAUGUGUCUCAACACUCCUGGUGGUAAUCAAGUGAUGUAAGUUGUAGUAUUGAUUUAUCCUAACAAAUCUCAUGCAGGACAUCAUGAAGACUGGUCUGGUUUGGUUCUGGGUUUUUUAAAGAAUUAUUUUUGAUUCUCUCCAGAUCCUAAAAGUUCCCCCUGAUUAUGCUGAUUCUUUACUCUUGUGUCAGCUCCAAUCCUGAGUUUCUUAUUCGAAGUUGUUGUUAUAGCCUUCUUUUUGGUUUCCAAGAACUGUAGAAGUAAAAUCACAGAGAACCUUAAAUAGGUUGGAAGAUACGUAGUAUAUAUAGAUGCUGUGACCAGUUUGUGAGCUGCAGGUUAAUGUUUUGGUCAUAGGUCUCCUGCCCUAAGAAUGGAGUGUGAUUGGUCCUUUAAUAGCAGGUAUGCAAUGUGUCACUGUAGCCGACUGUAAAUCUAACUACCUUAGAAGAACCUGCCAGAAUUCAAAGUGUGUUGAAUAGUCUUUGGGAGUUUAAGGUCACCUAUACACUACACUAUCUCCAUAAAGGAUCAUGCCUAAAUACACCAGAUAGUCUUAAAGAUGCUGCUGGGUUCUUUAACUCCUCUUCCCCAUUUUUGGCUGAAGUCUCUGAAACUGCAGACUCCGUGGAGGAAAUUUAAAAAUACAAAUCAAGGAAGUGUGAGUUAAAACAACAGAAGGCAUGUUAGGUAGAAAAAGAUGCAGCAGUCAAGAGAAAAUAAAAGCUAUGAAUUAUUGAAAAUCUGCCCUAAAAAGUAACAUUUGAAGGUAUAGACUUUUAUAUUGGGUACCUCAUAAUAGUUUAUUCCAUACUUGGGGCACCCUCUUCCAUUAUGAUUCCAUGCUGGUUAUUUUUUUCCACGGUGAGCAAUCUGUCUUUUGUAGUGUGCAUAUGUCACUUUUGAAGAGAAAAGACUCUAGAGUUAUCAGGAGCUGUGUGAAGGAAUGAUAGCAAAUCUCAUCAGAGGAGGUAGCAGGUGAUUGCAAUCAAUAAUCAAUCAACCUACCGGUGACUCUUCCCAUACAUCACUUUCAACCGAGGUAGCCUUUCCCAGUCCUUUUGAAGGAUAGACAUAAUGUGCAAGUAUAUUUAUGUUUAAGUCCUCUGUAUGGUUCUUCAUGUUUUGGAGAAGGGAAGCGGGAUGAACUUUUCAGCAAUGUUGCCAAGCAAUUCAAAAAGUGACAGCAAAGAGCUGGGGUUGAAUAGAGAACACUGGGCAUCUCAUACACUUUUGCUGGAAUUGGUUUGACAUGGGUCAUUCUUCCAUUAAUGUUAAGCUUAGUAACUCUGGUCCUCUUAGCAAAACAAUUUUGUGUUCAGCCAUUCACAGUUUUUGUUAAGUGUUAUCAUGACCAUGUACACAAGAUAAUGAAAACAUUUAAGGUCACAAUUGUUCAAAUAACUGGACUAGCAAAUCGCCCAGAUUACAUGUUUUUUCCCUUUGUGGGAAACAACAUUUUCAAAUAGGGAUAGGAAGAAUAUUCUAAAACGUUUUUAAAUCAUCUUUUUGUGAGUGUUGGAAAACCUCAUCAAAGAGGAUCAUGGACUGGUGAAAAUCUUAAUGGAGUGUGUCUUAUUUGGACACAAAAUUCACAUUUAAAAAAUAAAACAUGUUCAAAACAAAACAGCAUUGAUCAGUGAAUAAAUGUAUUGGUGUGUAUGUAAGUGUACAGAUGAGAUUCAUUGUAUGUUUUUAAAAGUCUGGGAUAACAAUGUUAACGAUAAAUUGUAUUUGUUACCUGAUUCUCUUCAUGACUUUAGUCAUGGCUUGAAUACUUGUUAACGUAAAUGUAGCUUCAUACCAAGUUAGCACUGAGCAACCUAGAAUCACAGAACUAUAGAAGUGGGAUGGAGCCAAAGGGCACCUGGUCCAAUACCUUUCCAAUGCUAAAAUCCACCUCUAAAAACAGUUCUGGGUAAUGACUAUUUCAAAAGAAAUGAAAGUCCAUCACCUUUUGAUGCAGUCUGUUCCACUGUUGAACAGCACUUAUCAUCAGGAAGCUCUUCCCAAUGCUCAAGGAAGCUUUUUUUUGUUUAACUAAGACAGUCUUAUUUACAUUCACCACCCAUGAUUGAUGUUUCUUCCAGACUUAUUUGUAAAUGCCAGGACCAUUGAAACACAAAGCUUGUGUCCACUAUUGACCUGCGAAUGAUCUAUGGUCCCUCUUCCUCAAAUUGACUUGGACCUGAUGCUGACUGAUUUCACCGUCCUUAACUUUCAGAGGAAGUGUACUCUUCUUAAUAUGUAUUGCAUUUUAUGUGUUGUAUGGCACCUUCGUGUGCUGUUUUUUAAGCCGCCCCGAAUCCCUAUGGGAGAUGGUGGUGGGGUAUAAAUUAGUUGUUGUUGUUUUCCACAAAAGCACAGCAUUUGAAGAGAUCCCAAGGGCCAUCCAACCCCUGCCGUGCAGAAUUCAAAGCCCGUCCGAGAAAUGGCAAUUCCGUUUUCGCUAAAAUACCUCCAAAGAAGGAGAUACCACCACACUCCCAGGCAACAUAUCCCAUUCGCAAACAGCUCAUAUUGUUAAUAAGUUUUUCCUAAGAUUUAGGUGGAACCUCUUUUCUUGCCAUUUGAAUAAAAUUAAUGCAGUUUGGCACCACUUUAAAAGCAAUGGCUCAAUGUUAUGCAAUCCUGGGAGUUGUAGCUUUACAAGGCCUUUAACUUUCUUUACCAAAGAGUGCUGGUGCCUCAGUGAACUACAAAUCCCAGGAUUGCAUAGCAUCAAGCCAUGACAGUGGUGUCAAACUCCAAUCAUAGGAUUGGAAGGGACCACAUCUAUUCCAAUCCUUUGCCUGGCAAGAAUGCACAACUAGAUCCCUCUUGAGAAAUAGUUAUGUAGCUAUACUUUUCACAGAAAUAUGGAAAAACUUGUUAUUUGCAAAACACCUUUUCUACCAAUAUAUCGACAUACAUGGUAUAAAAAACAUUUGUUAUUUGCUUCUCUUCUUUCCUGAAUUGUAAACAAAUUGGCCGCAAUCGGCAAGCUUUUGAUGAGUUUUUUCUACAUUGUUAUAAAAUCAACAAAGCUCCCCUCCCACCUCUGAAUUUGCCUAUGGGCAAAUAGAGAUUUGGAAGCAGUGCCUUCCCUUCUGUUACACAUCUCUUUGGAAUAACAACUCUAGCUCUUCUUCCUUAGAGCUAGAGGAGAAUCCACCUAAAAAAAAAAAGAAAAGAAAAAAAGAACAAGAGUAUGGCAAAGGAUUGCAUCUAAUGCCUUGAUCAUUUACUCUGCUGUUAUUCACUUAUCCCCAUUUUGAAUCACUUUUCCUAAAGGAAGUAUGAAGUAUGAAACUGAUGGAAAAUUAUGAUGGAGCAAGACUGCACACUGUGAAUGAUGUUUGCUGAACUCUGUGCCAAAGGGGAAAAUCACCGAAGUAGCUAAUUUGGCACUGAUUUCCCCUCUGGAGGUCCAUCAGCAUCAUUGAGCUUGUGUGUUUUCAUAUGAAUGUAGUAUUUUUGUUAUGGUUUUCAGUAUGCGAAUGGAAUAUAAUUUGUCAUCAACAUGUUACUAGUAUUAUUUAUUUAUUUCCAUCAUUUCUAUGCCGCCCUUCUCACCCAAAGGGACUCAGGGCAGCUCACAAUCUGGCAAAAUUCAAUGCCGUAUAUAGUACAAAAGAUAAAACAUAGGCAAUUAAAACAAUCAAUUUAGCAUAAUACAAUAAAUACAUUUAAAACAGUACAAUAAAAAUACUUAAACAAUUCGUCCACAAAAACCUUGCACGUAAACCUUAAUCCGGACCGAGUCAAAGCCAACAUAAUUCAUUCAUUAAAUGCUUGUUCACAAAGCCAGGUCUUCACCUUUUUCCUAAAAUUCAGAAGAGAUGGAGCCUGCUGGAUUUCACUGGGGAGGGAGUUCCAUAGCUGAGGAGCUACCACUGAGAAGGCCCUAUCUCUCGUUCCCACCAGCUGCACUUAUGAGGCAGGUGGGACCGAGAGCAGGGCCUCCCCAGACGAUCUUAAAGUUCUCAUAGACUCAUAGGAGGAGAUACGUUUGGAUAAGUAAGUUGGACCGGAACCAUUUAGUAGUUGCUGAGGAAAUCAUAAGAAUCCUCAGACUUAAGAAUUCACAUGCAAUAUUACUGUUUGUUGUUGACAUGUCGUAUGAGGCCUCUGUAUUUGACAGGUUUCAUUACCACCCUAGGCUAACCAACAAUGUAGCACCUUUUUCAGAGCUGGUUGUAUCUCACUAAUGGUUCAUACAUUUUCCACAAGUUUGCGCCCCAGUUCUUGUAGAUUAGGUGGAAAGAGUCUAGUCUUACAUCUGGCAAAUCUGUGGAGCAUCUUGUCCAUUCAGAACUGGGAUAAGUAGGUUCUGAUAUACACUUCAUGGAGUUCACUCGGUCAUCCUGAGCCAAAAACAAUCUCUUGGCUUCUCCCUGUUAAAAAUGUUCAUCCUGAUAGAAAAGCUGUCUGUAGUUGUAGAUGAUUGUGCCAUUCAAAGUUUUACUAUAUACAUUGAAGGAACUAUCUACAUUCUGGAAUAUAUCCCAACGAGAAGUUCUGCAUUGUGGACAGAUCUUUUUAAACUAUCCAAAGCUUGGUUUGGUUUUACUGUUCCACUGACAUAGGACCUAUCAGCAUUCUGUUCAGUGCUGUCUGCUUCUGGGAAGAAGGGCGAGAUAAAAACUUAAUUUCUAUGCCAGACACAUACCUUUCUUCCUCUCAUCUGUUUUAAGCAGAAGAUCAGUGAUCCUAAUUACAGGGUUUCAAGAGUUUAUAGAGUCAUCUCGAUGCUAGUACUAGAAUUCGGGCAGGCUGAAGUAUGUAGCGUUCAUUAAAUUCACUCUGUUGCCUACAUGGUGUUUUAACAUUUUGUAUUAUCUGCUUAGUAUUCAUGCCAAACUGCUGCUAGAAAGAACCAAGGCAAAAAUGCCUUCCACUAAAUUGCAGCCUGACAUUGGACUCAGAAGCAGUUUCUUUAUCCGUAAUCUCCCAUUUCCAUGAGUAGUGGCUGUUUAUGAAUUCAGGUAUGAACUUCAUUGGUAAUUUAUUGUUUGCCAUUUGAUUUGAUGUUGAUUAAAGCGGUAGUAUAACUCUUUAAAGGAAAUAAGUAUUCUAUUUGUAGAAUCAAUCAUAGAAUCAAUUAGUUGAGCCUUGGAAGAGGUCUCCCAUCCACCCUCCCAACAUUACUGAAACAGAACUUUUCACUGGCCAAUUUUUGAAAAAAAAUAUGCAUUGAUACUUUGAUUUAGAUUUGGUGCACCUUUCUUCCGCUUUGAAAGCUGCUCAAUUGAAUACUUAGCAAUAUUUCAUGAAUCAAAAGUAGAAAAGUCUGCAACACCCUUAAUUUUGUAUUUAUGAUUAUUUAUGUCUCUUUUUCUACUUCCAAAUUACACAUUAUUUCAGAAUGCCAUUUUUUCCCCAGGUAUGGAAAUCGUAUGUUAUAGUUGAGCCUUAUGGCUCCGAUACUGGGAGACGUGGUCGUAAGACUCCUCGGGAGUCAGAUACUCUCGAGGAGCGAGAAAGGAAGCGGCUGCGGGACUUAUUUGCAGAACCAUCUGACGAGGAUUCCUUUGAGGGUUUUACUGAGAGAAUGGAGGAAGAGAUGGUUAGCUCAGAGGAGGAUGACAUGGAAUGGACUCGUGUGAGGGAGGAUUUGGGUGUCACAGGCAAUGAUAGUAUGGAAGGCGAUUGGGGACCUUCAGGAUUAGACCCGUGGACAAGCUGGAGGGAUGGGACGGGAUCCACAGCUGGGGAUGCUGUGGGGCGUAGUCAAAGGUGUUUCAGUUCUGAUGAGGAAAGUGAUGAGGAAACGCCUGGAAUUAGGGUAACAGCUGAUAGCGAUGAGGAGCUGUAAACUGGCAUAAAAUGGGGUUUGGAAGCAAUGGCUAAUUGCGUUGGGCAAGGUAAUCUGGACGAACGCUUGGGCUCUGUGUGGGAAAUUCCUGAAGACGGGUGUGAUUCGUUUGCUGACUACCUUGGACCUCCGUCGUCUUCUUGACGGACGCCAUCUGUUUAUUCUGGACUGACUGACUGACUGACUGACUACGGCCUCGGACUCUCCUUCCUGUGAUUAUCGUUGGACCUGGUGAACUACAAACAUCUGUACCUGCCUUACGACCUUCGGACCGGAUUGGAACUUCGCUGACCGCUUCUGCCCUUGAAUGCUGCGUUUGUAUCUGGAAAUUGCUUGCUGUGUGGAGGAGUAACCUCUUAGUUACUCAAACAUAGCUUUUGGCAGCAGAGAAGCAUCUGCUGCCAGUUUUUGUAUUCCUUUGAACCUUUUGUUCACCAGCUUUUGUUUGUUUAAGUCCCAGGCUGAAGUAAGCUUUUUUGGUUUAACCCGGAUUAAACUCCGGUUUAAUCCAGUUUAUCUUUUGAACGUUUUCCUUGUGUCUUUUUACUUUUAAGGCCAAUGUUUGCCUAGCCCUUGUCUUUUACGGGCAUUUUUGGUUCUGUAACUCCAAUAAACUUUGUUAUAUCUUA